rnacentral:rRNA from 1 species
GAUGAACGCUGGCGGCGUGCUUAACACAUGCAAGUCGAACGAAGCACUUUAUUUGAUUUCCUUCGGGACUGAUUAUUUUGUGACUGAGUGGCGGACGGGUGAGUAACGCGUGGGUAACCUGCCUUGUACAGGGGGAUAACAGUUGGAAACGGCUGCUAAUACCGCAUAAGCGCACAGCAUCGCAUGAUGCAGUGUGAAAAACUCCGGUGGUAUAAGAUGGACCCGCGUUGGAUUAGCUAGUUGGUGAUGUAACGGCCCACCAAGGCGACGAUCCAUAGCCGACCUGAGAGGGUGACCGGCCACAUUGGGACUGAGACACGGCCCAAACUCCUACGGGAGGCAGCAGUGGGGAAUAUUGCACAAUGGGCGAAAGCCUGAUGCAGCGACGCCGCGUGAGCGAAGAAGUAUUUCGGUAUGUAAAGCUCUAUCAGCAGGGAAGAUAAUGACGGUACCUGACUAAGAAGCACCGGCUAAAUACGUGCCAGCAGCCGCGGUAAUACGUAUGGUGCAAGCGUUAUCCGGAUUUACUGGGUGUAAAGGGAGCGCAGGCGGUGCGGCAAGUCUGAUGUGAAAGCCCGGGGCUCAACCCCGGUACUGCAUUGGAAACUGUCGUACUAGAGUGUCGGAGGGGUAAGCGGAAUUCCUAGUGUAGCGGUGAAAUGCGUAGAUAUUAGGAGGAACACCAGUGGCGAAGGCGGCUUACUGGACGAUAACUGACGCUGAGGCUCGAAAGCGUGGGGAGCAAACAA